UACGUAGGGGGCAAGCGUUGUCCGGAUUUAUUGGGCGUAAAGAGCGUGUAGGCGGCCCGACAGGUCCGUUGUGAAAACUCGAGGCUCAACCUCGAGACGUCGAUGGAAACCGUCUGGCUAGAGUCCGGAAGAGGAGUGUGGAAUUCCUGGUGUAGCGGUGAAAUGCGCAGAUAUCAGGAAGAACACCUAUGGCGAAGGCAGCACUCUGGGACGGUACUGACGCUGAGACGCGAAAGCGUGGGGAGCGAACAGG
rnacentral:rRNA from 1 species